CUUCUUUGUUCUUUUGAUUUUCUAAGACAUCUGAUUCUCGCCAUAGAGUAGUUAACAGCCUGAUUCUCGCCAUAGAAUAGCUAACAUGGGGAUUUUUUAGCGGAAGAACUUCAAUUUCAUGACCUGGUUUUUAGAUUGAACGCUCGCAUAUGAGCGUCCCCCGUGGAUGACGAACAGAAGCUUUCUUUCUGGCAGGCAAAUCUAAGUUACUCAAAAGAACACACAGAUCUCGGUAAUGCUGGUGAUCUCAACAAGUGGGCAGCGACGCUUCUACGGUGCUCAAGAUGAACCACAAACGAAGAUGAUGAUUCACGAGGCAAUUAACAAACUAGAGAAAGCACUUGAAGUGUCAAAUCGAAACGACAAGACACUGUUCCUGUUAGGCAUUGCUCACUCUUCUUUGGGAGAUGAUACGAAGGCAGUUGGCUAUUUUAGAGAAGCACAAAAGAAAAAUCACGAAGAAAGGAUUUACAAACUUAGGUCGUUACCAGGCGACUACACAUGGCUUGCGAUUGGUGCUCUUAUAUGGUGCUUUGCGGUUGUCAAAAUUAUUUUUAAGAAGUAAGACUUGCUUUGUGUGUUGCCUAAUUAAACAAGAAAGGAGGAUGUUCUUCUGCUCUCUUUCUCUGUGACAAAGAGAGGUGUUGGUACUUGCUGCCAGCAAUAGAGAAUUGGAUCUCGAUGAAGCCAUCAAAGGAGGAUUGGCCAAAGACAAACUCGUAUUAUACAAGGGAAAGCCGGUAGCAGUGGAUUGCAUAACUUGUCAUGCUCCACAAUAA